CUUUCCACAACCCAAUUUCUUUUUCCAAUAAGGUAUUUUAAAGGGACACUAUCGUCACCAGCACAACUACAGCUUAUUGUCUAUCCCUGCAUGCAUUUGGAUGUACACACUGCAUUUUCAGAGAAAAGGCAGUGUUUAAAUUAGUGCAGAAACAAAAAUUAUUUAACUCCUUAAUGGCAGAGAAUUAAGUAGUGAGACUGCAGGAGCAUUAUCUAUACACCAAAACGGCUUCAUUAAGCUAAAAGUUGUUUUGGGGCUUGUCCCUUUAAGUAUAAACACGUGUGAACGUUCCCAAACACACCUCAAUACACUAACAUCAGGAAGCUAGUCAAAAAGUUGUUGAGGGAGGUCUUAUUUAAUUUACUUGGGCAAAAGUGCAGCAAUAAUGUAGGAUUAUGUAUACAGGCUUGCAUGAACAUUGUAAAAGAUUGACUGCAAUAUAAUGCACAUUGAU